UUUGGGAGCCAAAGAAAUUAUUCUGGGUUUAUACUUGCUUCGAGUAAGUAAAUUCCAUUCCCAGGUGUAUUAGUAGUUGAUCUUUAAGGAUCAGAAACUUGAUCUUUGAGAAUGAUGGAGAAUGGCCAUAGUGGGGAAGGAAGUCAUUCUGGGAUCAACAAGAAAAGCCAUAGUCUUAAUGGAGACUGAGCUACUAAGAAAGUUUCUACCACCCCGUAAGGCAGACAUUAUUGAUCCCAUGUUCUUGUGUUCUAGCCUAUACCACUGAGCAGGCACAUCAAGCUUCUAAUUGGAGACUCUGUGUUUCUUACUGAAUAUGAAACUGAAGCUCAGAGAGAUUGUACCUUACUUGUCCAUGCUCCCAGAGCUUUUUCAGAGGCAGAAUUUGAAUUCCAGACUUCCUGACAUUAAGUUCAUUACUCUAUUCACUACACCACAAUAAAUUUAAUAAAUAACCAUCAUUCA